rnacentral:rRNA from 1 species
UACGAAGGGGGCUAGCGUUGCUCGGAAUCACUGGGCGUAAAGGGUGCGUAGGCGGGUCUUUAAGUCAGGGGUGAAAAUCCUGGAGCUCAACUCCAGAACUGCCUUUGAUACUGAGGAUCUUGAGUUCGGGGAGAGGUGAGUGGAACUGCGAGUGUAGAGGUGAAAUUCGUAGAUAUUCGCAAGAACACCAGUGGCGAAGGCGGCUCACUGGCUCAUUACUGACGCUCAGGGCGCGAUAGCCGUGGGGGGGAUCAAAAACAGGGAUUUAGAAAACCCCCCUGUAGUCCCAGACC